rnacentral:rRNA from 1 species
GAAUAUUGGUCAAUGGGCGCAAGCCUGAACCAGCCACGCCGCGUGAGUGAUGAAGGCCUUCGGGUUGUAAAGCUCUGUGGGGAGGGAAGAAAACGGCGCGUAAGAAACGACGCGUCCUUGACGGUACCUCCUUAGCAAGCACCGGCUAACUCUGUGCCAGCAGCCGCGGUAAUACAGAGGGUGCGAACGUUGCUCGGAAUUACUGGGCGUAAAGCGCGUGUAGGCGGGACCGCAAGUCAGAUGUGAAAUCCCCGAGCUCAACUCGGGAACUGCAUCUGAAACUGCGGACCUUGAGUACUGGAGAGGGCGGCGGAAUUCCUGGUGUAGAGGUGAAAUUCGUAGAUAUCAGGAGGAACACCGGUGGCGAAGGCGGCCGCCUGGACAGUGACUGACGCUGAGACGCGAAAGCGUGGGGAGCAAACAG